rnacentral:rRNA from 1 species
UAAUACAGAGGGUGCGAGCGUUAAUCGGAAUUACUGGGCGUAAAGGGCGCGUAGGCGGUUAUGUAAGUUAGAUGUGAAAUCCCCGGGCUUAACCUGGGAAUGGCAUUUAAUACUGUAUGACUAGAGUAGAGUAGAGGGAAGUGGAAUUUCCGGUGUAGCGGUGAAAUGCGUAGAUAUCGGAAAGAACACCAGUGGCGAAGGCGGCUUCCUGGACUCAUACUGACGUUGAGGCGCGAAAGCGUGGGUAGCAAACAGG